GGAUUAGAUACCCUGGUAGUCCACGCCGUAAACGAUGUCUACUAGCCGUUGGGAUCCUUGAGGUCUUAGUGGCGCAGCUAACGCACUAAGUAGACCGCCUGGGGAGUACGGUCGCAAGAUUAAAACUCAAAUGAAUUGACGGGGGCCCGCACAAGCGGUGGAGCAUGUGGUUUAAUUCGAAGCAACGCGAAGAACCUUACCAGGUCUUGACAUCCAGAGAAUCCUUUAGAGAUAGAGGAGUGCCUUCGGGAAUUCUGAGACAGGUGCUGCAUGGCUGUCGUCAGCUCGUGCCG
rnacentral:rRNA from 1 species